UUUUCUGACGGGCUGGCUGGCCUGCACUGGUUUCUUAGCUUUUCUGAGCCUCAAUCUCCUCAUCUGUACAAUGGAAAGAAGGCUACCUGGUGUGGUUGUCGAAGAUUCACUGAGCUCAUCUCUGCAAAGCCCCUGGCUCGGCGCCUGGCCCUGCUGUAGGGGUUCAGUGAGUGUUAUCCCGUUCCCUCAUCCUUCGAGACAAGGCAGUGAGGGAGGGCACCGUGCACAGCAUCGGAAAAGAAGCAAAUAGAAGAGCUUUGGGGAUGCAGGAACGUCCAAAGCAGAGAUAACAAAUUGCUGGAAAAGUCAGAUCUUCAUUCAGUGUUGGCCCAGAAACUACAGGCUGAAAAGCAUGACGUACCAAACAGGCACGAGAUAAGUCCCGGACAUGAUGGCACAUGGAAUGACAAUCAGCUACAAGAAAUGGCCCAACUGAGGAUUAAGCACCAAGAGGAACUGACUGAAUUACACAAGAAACGUGGGGAGUUAGCUCAACUGGUGAUUGACCUGAAUAACCAAAUGCAGCGGAAGGACAGGGAGAUGCAGAUGAAUGAAGCAAAAAUUGCAGAAUGUUUGCAGACUAUCUCUG
rnacentral:lncRNA from 1 species